rnacentral:rRNA from 1 species
UACGUAGGGUGCGAGCGUUGUCCGGAAUUAUUGGGCGUAAAGAGCUUGUAGGCGGUUUGUCGCGUCUGCUGUGAAAUCUCAAGGCUCAACCUUGAGCUUGCAGUGGGUACGGGCAGACUAGAGUGUGGUAGGGGAGACUGGAAUUCCUGGUGUAGCGGUGAAAUGCGCAGAUAUCAGGAGGAACACCGGUGGCGGAAGGCGGGACUCUGGGGCCGAUACUGACGCUGAGGAAGCGAAAGCGUGGGGAGCGAACAGG